CCUACGGGAGGCAGCAGUGAGGAAUAUUGGUCAAUGGACGAGAGUCUGAACCAGCCAAGUAGCGUGAAGGAUGACUGCCCUAUGGGUUGUAAACUUCUUUUAUAUGGGAAUAAAACGUUCCACGUGUGGGAUUUUGUAUGUACCAUAUGAAUAAGGAUCGGCUAACUCCGUGCCAGCAGCCGCGGUAAUACGGAGGAUCCGAGCGUUAUCCGGAUUUAUUGGGUUUAAAGGGAGCGUAGGUGGAUUGUUAAGUCAGUUGUGAAAGUUUGCGGCUCAACCGUAAAAUUGCAGUUGAAACUGGCAGUCUUGAGUACAGUAGAGGUGGGCGGAAUUCGUGGUGUAGCGGUGAAAUGCUUAGAUAUCACGAAGAACUCCGAUUGCGAAGGUAGUUCACUGGACUGCAACUGACACUGAGGCUCGAAAGUGUGGGUAUCAAACAGGAUUAGAUACCCGAGUAGUC
rnacentral:rRNA from 1 species